rnacentral:rRNA from 1 species
AGACCCGAAACCCGGUGAUCUAGCCAUGGGCAGGUUGAAGGUUGGGUAACACUAACUGGAGGACCGAACCGACUAAUGUUGAAAAAUUAGCGGAUGACCUGUGGCUGGGGGUGAAAGGCCAAUCAAACCGGGAGAUAGCUGGUUCUCCCCGAAAGCUAUUUAGGUAGCGCCUCGUGAAUUCAUCUCCGGGGGUAGAGCACUGUUUCGGCUAGGGGGCCAUCCCGGCUUACCAACCCGAUGCAAACUGCGAAUACCGGAGAAUGUUAUCACGGGAGACACACGGCGGGUGCUAACGUCCGUCGUGAAGAGGGAAACAACCCAGACCGCCAGCUAAGGUCCCAAAGUCAUGGUUAAGUGGGAAACGAUGUGGGAAGGCCCAGACAGCCAGGAUGUUGGCUUAGAAGCAGCCAUCAUUUAAAGAAAGCGUAAUAGCUCACUGGUCGAGUCGGCCUGCGCGGAAGAUGUAACGGGGCUAAACCAUGCACCGAAGCUGCGGCAGCGACACUGUGUGUUGUUGGGUAGGGGAGCGUUCUGUAAGCCUGUGAAGGUGGCCUGUGAG